AGCAAACAAUGUUUUCAUCAGAAAUCAGUUGUGAGAUGAAAUUAUUUCAUAAUAAAACGGAUUCAUCCUGUAAAAUAAUGGGACAUCUAACAUAGAACUACAAGGCUCCGGCUAUUUGACUGCAAGUCCUGGGUGCACAAUUCGAAAUACAUUGAUGACGAUAACGACACAAGAGUCAACAGAAACUACACUACAGGCAUCAUAUGCUCGAUUCGGAGAUAGCGAUUUAACUGAAAGUUUGCCGUCAAAUUCAAAUAUGACGGUUGUAAUUGACACUCAAAAACUACAUUUCAAUGAGCUUCUUCAAAGAAAAAUGGAACUGUUUCCACAAAAUAGCUUUAAGCUACCACAUAAUUUAUCUAAUAUUGAGCAUCAUCAAAUCGCCAUUUAUAUUGGAUUAAUUUUUUUUAAUGAUCAUCACCAUUAUUCAUCUGGUCAAAAGAUGGCGUAAAUCUACGUCUCCUCUACCACUUCAACAAGGACCUAGUAUACCUACGAGUGCGACCACAUUUACAACUUAGCCGUUUACCAUCAACAUUAAUGACUGUUGAACAAUCCGUUCAACGUCCGGGAGAAUGUACGAUUUUCGCCAAGAAGAAAAUUGUUCGCAGCUGGAUUGAUAUUUAUGGGUUAAAUAGACAAGGGUCAUUAGUGAUAUCGGCAUACCUAAAUAAAUACAGGACCACGUAUGCCUGUGUCCACAUGUGUGUCAAUUCUGA